rnacentral:tRNA from 1 species
GGAGGAGUCGCAUAGUGGUUCAUUGCACAGACCUGGAAAGUCUGCGUCUCACAAGGACUCGCGAGUUCGAAUCUCGCCUCCUCCG